UAAAAAGCGUUGAGAAGGAGAAGUAAGCUAUCUACCCAUCUUAGAGAGAACGGCCUAGGCUGAAAGCUGUUCAUGGUAUUAGAGAGCCGAAAUGCACCUUCGAGUCCUUUUUUGAAACAUCCGCAUGGGUGGAGUAGGGAAAGGCGGUCCUCCCCGUUAAAAGAGCAGAGUUGAGGCGCAAAUUAGUGCCUAAACAGAGUGGAACCGCGUAUUCAAACGUCUCUGUG
rnacentral:ncRNA from 1 species